rnacentral:rRNA from 1 species
UACGUAGGGGGCAAGCGUUGUCCGGAUUUAUUGGGCGUAAAGAGCGUGUAGGCGGUCUGGUAGGUCCGUUGUGAAAACUCGAGGCUCAACCUCGAGACGCCGAUGGAAACCAUCAGACUAGAAUCCGGAAGAGGAGAGUGGAAUUCCGUGGUGUAGCGGUGAAAUGCGCAGAUAUCAGGAAGAACACCCGUGGCUAAGGCGGCUCUCUAGUACGGUACUGACGCUGAGACGCGAAAGCGUGGGGAGCGAACAGG